rnacentral:snRNA from 1 species
UAGUGUUACAGCUCUUUUAGAAUUUGUCUAUCAGGACUUCAGGUUUUUUUCUUUUUUUUUUUUUUGCUGGAAAGCCCCU